rnacentral:rRNA from 1 species
UACGUAGGGCGCAAGCGUUGUCCGGAAUUAUUGGGCGUAAAGCGCUCGUAGGUGGCUUGUCACGUCGGGUGUGAAAGCUUGGGGCUUAACUCCAGGUCUGCAUUCGAUACGGGCUGGCUAGAGGUAGGUAGGGGAGAACGGAAUUCCUGGUGUAGCGGUGAAAUGCGCAGAUAUCAGGAGGAACACCGGUGGCGAAGGCGGUUCUCUGGGCCUUACCUGACGCUGAGGAGCGAAAGCGUGGGGAGCGAACAGG